UGAGACAGGUGCUGCAUGGCUGUCGUCAGCUCGUGUUGUGAAAUGUUGGGUUAAGUCCCGCAACGAGCGCAACCCUUAUCCUUUGUUGCCAGCGAUUCGGUCGGGAACUCAAAGGAGACUGCCGGUGAUAAACCGGAGGAAGGUGGGGAUGACGUCAAGUCAUCAUGGCCCUUACGAGUAGGGCUACACACGUGCUACAAUGGCGCAUACAAAGAGAAGCGACCUCGCGAGAGCAAGCGGACCUCACAAAGUGCGUCGUAGUCCGGAUCGGAGUCUGCAACUCGACUCCGUGAAGUCGGAAUCGCUAGUAAUCGUGGAUCAGAAUGCCACGGUGAAUACGUUCCCGGGCCUUGUACACUCCGCCCGUCACACCAUGGGAGUGGCAUGCAAAAGAA
rnacentral:rRNA from 1 species